rnacentral:rRNA from 1 species
GAUGAACGCUGGCGGCGUGCCUAAUACAUGCAAGUCGAGCGAACGGACGAGAAGCUUGCUUCUCUGAUGUUAGCGGCGGACGGGUGAGUAACACGUGGACAACCUACCUAUAAGACUGGGAUAACUUCGGGAAACCGGAGCUAAUACCGGAUAAUAUUUUGAACCGCAUGGUUCAAAAGUGAAAGACGGUCUUGCUGUCACUUAUAGAUGGAUCCGCGCUGCAUUAGCUAGUUGGUAAGGUAACGGCUUACCAAGGCAACGAUGCAUAGCCGACCUGAGAGGGUGAUCGGCCACACUGGAACUGAGACACGGUCCAGACUCCUACGGGAGGCAGCAGUAGGGAAUCUUCCGCAAUGGGCGAAAGCCUGACGGAGCAACGCCGCGUGAGUGAUGAAGGUCUUCGGAUCGUAAAACUCUGUUAUUAGGGAAGAACAUAUGUGUAAGUAACUGUGCACAUCUUGACGGUACCUAAUCAGAAAGCCACGGCUAACUACGUGCCAGCAGCCGCGGUAAUACGUAGGUGGCAAGCGUUAUCCGGAAUUAUUGGGCGUAAAGCGCGCGUAGGCGGUUUUUUAAGUCUGAUGUGAAAGCCCACGGCUCAACCGUGGAGGGUCAUUGGAAACUGGAAAACUUGAGUGCAGAAGAGGAAAGUGGAAUUCCAUGUGUAGCGGUGAAAUGCGCAGAGAUAUGGAGGAACACCAGUGGCGAAGGCGACUUUCUGGUCUGUAACUGACGCUGAUGUGCGAAAGCGUGGGGAUCAAACAGGAUUAGAUACCCUGGUAGUCCACGCCGUAAACGAUGAGUGCUAAGUGUUAGGGGGUUUCCGCCCCUUAGUGCUGCAGCUAACGCAUUAAGCACUCCGCCUGGGGAGUACGACCGCAAGGUUGAAACUCAAAGGAAUUGACGGGGACCCGCACAAGCGGUGGAGCAUGUGGUUUAAUUCGAAGCAACGCGAAGAACCUUACCAAAUCUUGACAUCCUUUGACAACUCUAGAGAUAGAGCCUUCCCCUUCGGGGGACAAAGUGACAGGUGGUGCAUGGUUGUCGUCAGCUCGUGUCGUGAGAUGUUGGGUUAAGUCCCGCAACGAGCGCAACCCUUAAGCUUAGUUGCCAUCAUUAAGUUGGGCACUCUAAGUUGACUGCCGGUGACAAACCGGAGGAAGGUGGGGAUGACGUCAAAUCAUCAUGCCCCUUAUGAUUUGGGCUACACACGUGCUACAAUGGACAAUACAAAGGGCAGCGAAACCGCGAGGUCAAGCAAAUCCCAUAAAGUUGUUCUCAGUUCGGAUUGUAGUCUGCAACUCGACUACAUGAAGCUGGAAUCGCUAGUAAUCGUAGAUCAGCAUGCUACGGUGAAUACGUUCCCGGGUCU